ACGGAGGGUGCAAGCGUUAUCCGGAUUUACUGGGUUUAAAGGGUGCGUAGGUGGGUCUGUAAGUCAGUGGUGAAAUCUUCAAGCUUAACUUGGAAACUGCCAUUGAUACUAUAGGUCUUGAAUUAUCUGGAGGUGAGCGGAAUAUGUCAUGUAGCGGUGAAAUGCUUAGAUAUGACAUAGAACACCAAUUGCGAAGGCAGCUCACUACGGAUUUAUUGACACUGAGGCACGAAAGCGUGGGGAUCAAACAGGAUUAGAUACCCUGGUAGUCCACGCCCUAAACGAUGGAUACUCGACAUACGCGAUAUACUGUGUGUGUCUGAGCGAAAGCAUUAAGUAUCCCACCUGGGAAGUACGAUCGCAAGAUUG
rnacentral:rRNA from 1 species